rnacentral:lncRNA from 1 species
AGACGAUGACGAUGACUUUGCUAUGCUGGUAAAGAGACUAAGAAGGUUCAUGCGACAAGGAAGAACUGGCAAGCCAAAGAAAGUCAGCAACUACGUCAGCCAGGAACAAAUGAAUGAUUUAUGCUACAACUGCAAGAAACCUGGUCAUUUCAUUGUCAACUGCAACAAUCCUAUCAAAGAAGAACUAAAGAAGAAAUCUCAUGCAAAGAAAGAAUACAAAGGAACCAAGAGGCCUCAGAAAAGAGACAAGGCCUGGUUGUCGGAGGAUCGUGGAGUGAUUCAGAUAAUGACUCAAAUGCAGACUUCGGAGAUGAGGAAGAACCACAUAUGGCCAAU